GUAAAGGCUAAAUGUUCAUUCGAAUAAAAACUAUUUGGUAAAAUGUUCAUGUUAAAGUGUGAAGUCACUCUAAAAGGUUAAAUGCUCACAUUAGAUACAUUUAACAUUUAGGGCUAUUAAAGUAGUUGAGAAAUAAAAUAGAGUCAUGGAAAUUUUCUUUAUAAUCAGGUGUUGCAAAUGGGAAAAUACAGGAGCAGAAAAAUCACAAAAUUAUAUCAGCAUUAAACUUUAUAUAGAAAACGCAGCCAAUUGCCAAGUAAAACAUAAUUUCUAUUAUAAUCUAAAUGUCUUUGCCCCUUAUGAGGAAAAAAAAAUCUCAAGGAUACAAAAAAAUUGAGUCACAGUUAACAAUAGUAAAAUAUAGCUAUAUUUCAGUAAUUAAAAGCUUUUACCAGGAAAUGAGUUCAAAAUUUUAAAUUGCCUCUAUGAUGUGGCAAUGCACACUGGCUUCUGGGAACUGUUAGGUUCCCAUGACUAUUAUCUGUAGUUUCCCCUUCCAGUGAAAUUGAAGGGCAUUACAGGGAACAGUCACCAGGUCCUGGCCAGAGUUGAUGCCAAGAUCCAACAGAGUCAAGUGAUGGAGCAGGAACCAGGCCAGGGUGCAAGAUAGGUAACAAACAGGUUCCAGCAGACUCUCUUUUCGAUUUCCUGGCACUUUGGAGUUAGUAAGGAUAAAUUCACAUCUCUCAUGAACUUUGCUGUACACUGAAUAUAUAUGUCCCCAAAACUAAUAUAUUGUAACCUAACUCCCAAAGUGAUGGUAUUUGGAGAUGGAGCCCUUGGGAGGUGAUAUAAUUUGGCUGUGUCCCCACCCAAAUCUCAUCUUGAAUUGUAGUUACCAUAAUCCUCACAUGUCAUGGAAGGGACCUGGUGGGUGGAAUUUAAUCAUGGGGUGGUUUCCCUCAUGCUUUUCUCAUGAUAAUGAGUGAGUUCUCACAAGAUCUGAUGGUUUUAUAAGGGGCAUUUCCCCCUUUUGCUCAGCACUUCUCCUUCCUGCCAUCAUGUGAAAAAGAAUUAAGCCACAUGAUAGAACAAAUUGGGAUGUUCACUUUUAUAAACUUCUGAAAGUAUAUUCCUAUCUAUGUUCUAGCUCAAAAAGUUUUUCAUUUUAAGAGUCCAUUUCUGGAUGUUAUUGGAUAAAGAGGAUCUACUUACUAGUUUUGUAGACU
rnacentral:lncRNA from 1 species